GAGGGAUCAUUACAAGUGACCCCGGUUUACCACCGGGAUGUUCAUAACCCUUUGUUGUCCGACUCUGUUGCCUCCGGGGCGACCCUGCCUUCGGGCGGGGGCUCCGGGUGGACACUUCAAACUCUUGCGUAACUUUGCAGUCUGAGUAAACUUAAUUAAUAAAUUAAAACUUUUAACAACGGAUCUCUUGGUUCUGGCAUCGAUGAAGAACGCAGCGAAAUGCGAUAAGUAAUGUGAAUUGCAGAAUUCAGUGAAUCAUCGAAUCUUUGAACGCACAUUGCGCCCCCUGGUAUUCCGGGGGGCAUGCCUGUUCGAGCGUCAUUUCACCACUCAAGCCUCGCUUGGUAUUGGGCAACGCGGUCCGCCGCGUGCCUCAAAUCGACCGGCUGGGUCUUCUGUCCCCUAAGCGUUGUGGAAACUAUUCGCUAAAGGGUGCUCGGGAGGCUACGCCGUAAAACAACCCCAUUUCUAAGGUUGACCUCGGAUCAGGUAGGGAUACCCGCUGAACUU
rnacentral:rRNA from 1 species